UGAGAGGCUGAACGUCCACAUUGGGUUUGAGGCCCGCCCCAGCAUCCUACGGAAGCCAGCAAUGGGGAAUAUGCCUCAAUGCGGCAAACCACGAUGCAGCCUCGCCGCGAGAAGGACGAACGUUUUUGAUUUGUAACCUUCUAUUAUCGGGGAGGAAACUGGUUUGUACCCGAAGAACAACACUUGGCAAACCAUAGGCCAGCAAUCGCGCUAAUAGGUAGGUGGCAACAGUUUUUCGGACUUACUGGGUGUAAAGGCCGUGUAGCCGGGAAUGAAAGUCAGAUGUGAAUUUCUGUGGCUCAACCGCAGAUCGUCAUCUCAAACUUCAUUUCUUGAGUACUGGAGAGGAAAGCGGAAUUCCCCGUGUAGCGGUGAAAUGCGUAGAUAUUAGGAGGAACACCGGUGGCGAAGGCGGCUUUCUGGACAGUAACUGACGCUGAGACGUGAAAGUGUGGGGAGCAAACAG
rnacentral:rRNA from 1 species